GUGAGGAAUUUUCCGCAAUGGGCGAAAGCCUGACGGAGCAAUGCUGCGUGAAGGAUGAAGGCCUAUGGGUUGUAAACUUCUUUUCUCAGAAAAGAAUUAUGACGGUAUCUGAGGAAUAAGCAUCGGCUAACUCUGUGCCAGCAGCCGCGGUAAGACAGAGGAUGCAAGCGUUAUCCGGAAUGAUUGGGCGUAAAGCGUCUGUAGGUUGUUUAAAAAGUAUUCUGUCAAAGAUUAGGGCUUAACCCUAGAUAGGCAGAAUAAACUUUUAAGCUAGAGUUUGGUAGAGGCAGAGGGAAUUCCCGGUGGAGCGGUGAAAUGCGUAGAUAUCGGGAGGAACACCAAAGGCGAAGGCACUCUGCUGGGCCAAUACUAACACUGAGAGACGAAAGCGAGGGGAGCAAAUGGGAUUAGAUACCCGGGUAGUCC
rnacentral:rRNA from 1 species